rnacentral:tRNA from 1 species
GGAAUAGGAUAUUCAGGAUUAAGCUUCUAACUUAAAUCUUUAGCGAUGAAAUUUCGUUAAUAUUCCU